AGCCCGUCACACGGGAGCCCGAGGCGCGGGCUGAGAGGGCAUCGCCAUGCCGACCGUCCAACCUGAUGCGGUUCAUGCCGCCGUAGGGAGUGUUCGAUCCUGGCUA
rnacentral:ncRNA from 1 species